rnacentral:rRNA from 1 species
UACGAAGGGGGCUAGCGUUGCUCGGAAUCACUGGGCGUAAAGCGCACGUAGGCGGAUCUUUAAGUCAGAGGUGAAAUCCCAAGGCUCAACCUUGGAACUGCCUUUGAUACUGGGGAUCUCGAGUCCGGAAGAGGUGAGUGGAACUGCGAGUGUAGAGGUGAAGUUCGUAGAUAUUCGCAAGAACACCAGUGGCGAAGGCGGCUCACUGGUCCGGUACUGACGCUGAGGUGCGAAAGCGUGGGGAGCAAACAGG